AUAUAGCUCAGUCGGUAGAGUAUCAAACUUUUAAUCUGAGGGUCGUGGGUUCAAGUUCCUCUGU
rnacentral:tRNA from 1 species